rnacentral:sRNA from 1 species
AUGUCCAGCUGUGUAUUUUGGAAUGAACUGUUGAAUGAUGUGCACCCCUCCUGCUUAUGGGUGUUCUUGUACUCAGCAAUGAAACUGCCCAGUAUGCCACUUUGUAGUGGGAUGAAUUUCUACUCCAAAGUCUCCAAAGUCCACGCGCAUGGAUCAAGACGAAAUGUCCUUUUCUUCUAUAUCUGGAUUGUUAGUGACGCUAAUUACCCGAAAAACAGUAAUAUCAAAGAAUUAAGAGAAGAAUGUAUAUACGGUUACUUUAAGGAUGGAAAUGCUUGCAGAGCAUGUCCAGCUGGAUACACUGGAUUGAACUGCUCUCAGAAAUGCACUAUGCCUACAUACGGGGUUUUAUGUGGUGGAAUAUGUAACUGUUCAUCUUGUCAUCAUGAAGUGGGAUGCAUUUCAACUCCCGAGUUCACAGGCAAUGAGAGACAACACUGGUUUCUAAUCCUUGUCUGUUCAACCAAUACAAAUAUGGGAAUGAUUGCAAAGACUGUCCUGCUGGGUACUUUGGAAAUGGUUGCACUGAGAAGUGUGUCCUGCCAUCGUUUGGGAGGGCUUGUAGCGAUACUUGUAACUGCUCAUUUUGUCAUCACGUAUUUGGGUGUAUUUUAUCUUCAGAAUUUAAAGAAUGUCCUGCUGGAUAUUUUAGACAUAACUGUUCUGACAAAUGCCCCUGGCCUACUUACGGAGUUUGGUGCAAUCGAACAUGCCCAUGUGUAAUAUGCGAUCAUAUACUGGGAUGUGUGACUACCACAGGUACUAAUUGAUAAACAAAGUUGUAUUAUGCAUCCUAUAAUUAUUCACUUAUAUUUGAAAAAAAAAGAUAUCUGAGUUUUGCUACACUACAUGCACAGUACCGAUUAGACCCA